rnacentral:rRNA from 1 species
GACGAACGCUGGCGGCGUGCUUAACACAUGCAAGUCGAACGAUGACGAAAAGACUCGAACCUUCGGCAGAAAGUCAUUUCGGAUUAGUGGCAGAGGGGUGAGUAACGCGUGAGCAACCUACCUCUUACAAAGGGACAGCCUCGGGAAACCGGGAUUAAUACCAUAUAACAUUGUGACGAAUCAUUUCGUUGCAAUCAAAGCUACGCCGGUAAGGGAUGGGCUCGCGUCCCGUUAACCGGAUGGUGAGGUAACGGCUCACCAUAGUGACGAUGGGUACCCGGGCAGAGAGACAGAACGGUCACACUGGAACUGAGCCACGGUCCAGAAUAUUACGGGAUGCAGGAGAGGGGAAUAUAGCAAAAUGGAGUGAACGCUGAAGCAGCGACGCCGCGAGAGUAAUGAAGGAAGUCGUUAAGUAAAGCUCUGUAAUAUGCGAAGAAAAGGACUGUACCAAAGGAGAAAGCUCCGGCUAACUACGUG